UACGGAGGAUCCGAGCGUUAUCCGGAUUUAUUGGGUUUAAAGGGUGCGUAGGUGGAUUGGUAAGUCAGUGGUGAAAGUUUGCAGCUUAACUGUAAAAUUGCCGUUGAAACUGCCGGUCUUGAGUGCAAAUGAGGUAGCGGAAUGCGUCGUGUAGCGGUGAAAUGCUUAGAUAUGACGCAGAACUCCGAUUGCGAAGGCAGCUUACUGGGAUGCAACUGACGCUGAGGCACGAAAGCGUGGGUAUCAAACAGAAUUAGAUA
rnacentral:rRNA from 1 species